UUUUCCCAAGUUUGGAAGGCCAGUAUUCCCCAUAAGAUAAAAAUUUUCUUGUGGCAAGCCUUUCGAGGCCGGCUGCCCUCAGCUGAUCAGAUUCGUAAGAGAAACGGGCCGGGCUCCCAGUUUUGUGCUCUUUGUGGUGAGGUGGAAGACUCGGAUCAUAUCUUUUUUCACUGUCACCUGGCUAAGCUUAUUUGGAGUUGUGUGCGGGACUGGCUUCAUGUGUCUUGGGCGCCUGCCUCCUUUACCGAGUUGCGCAGCCUGGCAUCCAACCUUUCCGGUGUUUCUAGACCGAUCUUUUGGGUGGGCUUGGGGGCUUUAUGCUGGUCUCUGUGGACUACUAGGAACAAAUUUACUAUCAAGCACGUGUUUCCGGUUAAACCGGCUGACUGCUUAUUUAAAUCGUGUGCUUUCCUGCAGCAGUGGAAAUCAUUGACUAAGGCCGACGACCAAGAGGCGCUAUCUAUGUUGAUCGAGAAAAUCCGGACCAUAGCGUCUCAGUUAUGCAGACAAGAGCACGAUGCUUGA
rnacentral:rRNA from 1 species